rnacentral:rRNA from 1 species
CAGCCGCCGCGGGAAUACGAAGGGGGCUAGCGUUGCUCGGAAUGACUGGGCGUAAAGGGCGCGUAGGCGGUUUGUACAGUCGGAUGUGAAAUUCCUGGGCUUAACCUGGGGGCUGCAUUCGAUACGUGCAGGCUUGAGUGUGGAAGAGGGUUGUGGAAUUCCCAAUGUAGAGGUGAAAUUCGUAGAUAUUGGGAAGAACACCGGUGGCGAAGGCGGCAACCUGGUCCAUUACUGACGCUGAGGCGCGAAAGCGUGGGGAGCGAACAGGAUUAGAUACCCCCGUAGUCCCUGUCUCUUAUAC